rnacentral:rRNA from 1 species
AUUGAACGCUGGCGGCAUGCCUAACACAUGCAAGUCGAGCGGAGCGGCGGACGGGUGAGUAAUGCCUAGGAAUCUGCCUGGUAGUGGGGGAUAACGUCCGGAAACGGGCGCUAAUACCGCAUCCUAUCAGAUGAGCCUAGGUCGGAUUGGCUAGGUGGUGUGGUAAAGGCCUACCAAGGCGACGAUCCGGAGCUGGUCUGAGAGGAGGAUCAGUCACACGGGAACUGAGGCACGGUCCAGACUCCGACGGGAGGCAGCAGUGGGGAAUAUUGGGCAAUGGGCGAAAGGCUGAUCCAGCCAUGCCGCGUGUGUGAAGAAGGUCUUCGGAUUGUAAAGCUCUGUAAGUUGGGAGGCGUUACCAACAGAAGAAGCACCGGCUAACUACGUGCCAGCAGCCGCGGUAAUUC